rnacentral:guide_RNA from 1 species
UAUUAAGUGAAGUAAUGUAAAUGAGAAUUA